ACUCGCCUGCAUGAAGUCGGAAUUGCUAGUAAUCGCAGGUCAGCAUACUACGGUGAAUACGUUCCCGGGCCUUGUACACACCGCCCGUCACACCAUGGGAGCCGGUAAUACCCGAAGUCAGUAGUCUAACCGCAAGGAGGACGCUGCCGAAGGUAGGAUUGGCGACUGGGGUGAAGUCGUAACAAGGUACC
rnacentral:rRNA from 1 species